CAGAGUAGUCGCGCCCGAGCGUCCAUAGCGACGGCGCGGUUCGCUACCUCGAUGUCGGCUCAUCAUAUCCUGGCGCUGAAGAAGGUGCCAAGGGUCGGUCUGUUCGCCCGUUAAAAUGGUACGUGAGCUGGGUUCAGAACGUCGUAAGACAGUUCGGACUCUAUCCGGUGGAAUCGUUGAGUUUUGAGGGGAGCUGGCCUCAGUACGAGAGGACCAGGCUGGAGGAAUCCCUGGUGUGCCGGUUGUUUCAUCAGAAGCAACGCCGGGUAGCUAUAUUCCUACGGGAUAACCGCUGAAAGCAUCUAAGUGGGAAGCCCACCCCAAGAUUAGAACUCAUUAUUAGACCCCUGGAAAAAUACCAGGUACAAUCGACAGGCAGUGGAAGCGCCGUAAGGUGUUAAGCUUAACCUGUGCGAAUCGGUCGAUAGACUUGCGAAC
rnacentral:ncRNA from 1 species